AGUGAACGCUGGCGGUAGGCCUAACACAUGCAAGUCGAACGGCAGCACAGUAAGAGCUUGCUCUUACGGGUGGCGAGUGGCGGACGGGUGAGGAAUACAGCGGAAUCUACUUUUUCGUGGGGGAUAACGUAGGGAAACUUACGCUAAUACCGCAUACGACCUACGGGUGAAAGCAGGGGAUCUUAGGACCUUGCGCGAUUGAAUGAGCCGAUGUCGGAUUAGCUAGUUGGCGGGGUAAAGGCCCACCAAGGCGACGAUCCGUAGCUGGUCUGAGAGGAUGAUCAGCCACACUGGAACUGAGACACGGUCCAGACUCCUACGGGAAGCAGCAGUGGGGAAUAUUGGACAAUGGGCGCAAGCCUGAUCCAGCCAUACCGCGUGGGUGCAGAAGGCCUUCGGGUUGUAAAGCCCUUUUGUUGGGAAAGAAAAGCAGCAGGUUAAUACCCCGCUAUUCUGACGGUACCCAAAGAAUAAGCACCGGCUAACUUCGUG
rnacentral:rRNA from 1 species